CAGCCGCCGCGGGAAUACGAAGGGUGCAAGCGUUACUCGGAAUUACUGGGCGUAAAGCGUGCGUAGGUGGUGGUUUAAGUCCGUUGUGAAAGCCCUGGGCUCAACCUGGGAAUUGCAGUGGAUUCUGGGUCACUAGAGUGUGGUAGAGGAUAGUGGAAUUUCCGGUGUAGCAGUGAAAUGCGUAGAGAUCGGAAGGAACAUCUGUGGCGAAGGCGACUAUCUGGGCCAACACUGACACUGAGGCACGAAAGCGUGGGGAGCAAACAGGAUUAGAUACCCGCGUAGUCCCUGUCUCUUAUAC
rnacentral:rRNA from 1 species